GCGAAAGGGUUCGCUGCACAACAAGAGAAAAUUACUAUUGCACAAAGUGUGAAGAAGAGAAUAAUACAGCACACUUAUCAAUUUAUUACCAUUCCGACGAUCACCAGACAUGUUAUGCAACAUGCUCAUGGAAACAGAAUUGGUGUUGGCCUGGUGAAUGUAAUAAGAAUCUGGCAAAAAACUGUAUUUGUAAGGAUGGCUUUUCUCUAUCAACUACAAACUCAAACAAAGUCUGUCAAUUGAACGUAAUUCCGACGCUGCUAACCUGUCGUUUGGGGAUCGAAAGCAUUGGAGGGGAAGUUCGAAAUUCAUCUUUAAAAGGACC